rnacentral:rRNA from 1 species
UACGGGGGGGGCAAGCGGGUUGUUCGGAAUUACUGGGCGUAAAGGGCUCGGUAGGCGGCCAACUAAGUCGGAUGUGAAAUCCCCAGGACCUUAACCUGGGGAACUGCAUCCGAUACUGGAUGGCUUGAAUCCGGGAGAGGGAUGCAGAAUUCCAGGUGUAGCGGUGAAAUGCGUAGAUAUCUGGAGGAAUACCGGUGGCGAAGGCGGCAUCCUGGACCGGCAUUGACGCUGAGUGAGCGAAAGCUAGGGGAGCAAACGGGG